CAGCCGCCGCGGUAAUACGUAGGGUGCGAGCGUUAAUCGGAAUUACUGGGCGUAAAGCGUGCGCAGGCGGUGAUGUAAGACAGUUGUGAAAUCCCCGGGCUCAACCUGGGAACUGCAUCUGUGACUGCAUCGCUGGAGUGCGGCAGAGGGGGAUGGAAUUCCGCGUGUAGCAGUGAAAUGCGUAGAUAUGCGGAGGAACACCGAUGGCGAAGGCAAUCCCCUGGGCCUGCACUGACGCUCAUGCACGAAAGCGUGGGGAGCAAACAGGAUUAGAUACCCGAGUAGUCCCUGUCUCUUAUAC
rnacentral:rRNA from 1 species